rnacentral:rRNA from 1 species
AUUGAACGCUGGCGGCAUGCCUUACACAUGCAAGUCGAACGGCAGCGGACCUUCGGGUGCCGGCGAGUGGCGAACGGGUGAGUAAUAUAUCGGAACGUACCUUUCAGUGGGGGAUAACGUAGCGAAAGUUACGCUAAUACCGCAUAUUCUGUGAGCAGGAAAGCAGGGGGAUCGCAAGACCUUUCGCUGAUUGAGCGGCCGAUAUCAGAUUAGCUAGUUGGUGAGGUAAAGGCUCACCAAGGCGACGAUCUGUAGCGGGUCUGAGAGGAUGAUCCGCCACACUGGAACUGAGACACGGUCCAGACUCCUACGGGAGGCAGCAGUGGGGAAUUUUGGACAAUGGGCGCAAGCCUGAUCCAGCCAUGCCGCGUGAGUGAAGAAGGCCUCGG